rnacentral:rRNA from 1 species
AUUGAACGCUGGCGGCAGGCCUAACACAUGCAAGUCGAGCGGAUGAAGGGAGCUUGCUCCUGGAUUCAGCGGCGGACGGGUGAGUAAUGCCUAGGAAUCUGCCUGGUAGUGGGGGAUAACGUCCGGAAACGGGCGCUAAUACCGCAUACGUCCUGAGGGAGAAGGUGGGGGAUCUUCGGACCUCACGCUAUCAGAUGAGCCUAGGUCGGAUUAGCUAGUUGGUGGGGUAAAGGCCUACCAAGGCGACGAUCCGUAACUGGUCUGAGAGGAUGAUCAGUCACACUGGAACUGAGACACGGUCCAGACUCCUACGGGAGGCAGCAGUGGGGAAUAUUGGACAAUGGGCGAAAGCCUGAUCCAGCCAUGCCGCGUGUGUGAAGAAGGUCUUCGGAUUGUAAAGCACUUUAAGUUGGGAGGAAGAGCAGUAAGUUAAUACCUUGCUGUUUUGACGUUACCAACAGAAUAAGCACCGGCUAACUUCGUG